GUGAACGCUGGCGGUAGGCCUAACACAUGCAAGUCGCACGGCAGCACAGUAAGAGCUUGCUCUUACGGGUGGCGAGUGGCGGACGGGUGAGGAAUACAUCGGAAUCUACUUUUUCGUGGGGGAUAACGUAGGGAAACUUACGCUAAUACCGCAUACGACCUACGGGUGAAAGCAGGGGAUCUUCGGACCUUGCGCGAUUGAAUGAGCCGAUGUCGGAUUAGCUAGUUGGCGGGGUAAAGGCCCACCAAGGCGACGAUCCGUAGCUGGUCUGAGAGGAUGAUCAGCCACACUGGAACUGAGACACGGUCCAGACUCCUACGGGAGGCAGCAGUGAGGAAUAUUGGACAAUGGGCGCAAGCCUGAUCCAGCCAUACCGCGUGGGUGAAGAAGGCCUUCGGGUUGUAAAGCCCUUUUGUUGGGAAAGAAAAGCAGCAGGUUAAUACCCCGCUGUUCUGACGGUACCCAAAGAAUAAGCACCGGCUAACUUCGUG
rnacentral:rRNA from 1 species